GUUGUCUCGAGUGUGAGCGAGUGGAACUGGUGGUGGACGCUGAGCUUGCCCGCACAUGUCAGUUCAAAGUACAGUAAAUGCAUCGUCCGGAGUGACAGACGGUUCAGAAGCUCUCGUACGUCGGGUGCAGGCUGCUGCUUGUCUGAUCUUCUCUCCUGAUGUGUAGUCCUCUUGGGCCCUGAAUUUGCUGCUGAAAUGAUGAAGACGCCAGUUUGUCUAUUGAUGUCAGUCUACUGCAUACAGUAUGGGUCAUGGGGACACCCAUCAGAUAGCAUCAGAUGAAAAGUGGAAAUCUACACUUGGAUGAGACACCAGUUCUUCAUCUUCUAGUUGUUCUUCAUAUGGUGAUACAGUUGUUCAACACAUCCAGCUAUUAAGGGUUUAAAGGGUCCCUGACCUGGUCACUCCCAUAUGGAGUCUGCACACUCAGAAUGGCAGCCUUAGGUAGCGGAUCAACAGUGUAGUGCUGUAGGUAACACCAGGACAUGAUGACAAAGUCUCUCAUAUGCCCCUUGUGACUGUGGGUAUGAAUGAGAGAGCUCUGUAAUGGCUGGCAUCCCACCCCGCUUCCAGUGCUUGUGCUUUAAGGUGCCAUCACUGAACUGAAUCAGAUGUUUAGAAAAUGGAUGGACAGAAAGCAUCUUGUAAUGGAUUAGAAUUGGGAUUUCAAAUUCUCUGUUAUUUUAUCAAAUUAUCUCAUUAGACCUGAAGAGAAGUAGUUCAUCAAGAUACACCCUUCACUCCUAAAUGGUGUAUUGGGCACGUUUUUCUUUUCCUGCUAAUCAGGUGUUUGAAAGUUCUGCUAAAGAAUGUGGUGUAUCUGGAUGUGAACUUCUAGCUGAGCGAUCUAAUUACUCUGAGGAAUUAAUAAAGAUGCAUUAAGGAAAACCAACAUGGAAGUUACUGUACAUGCCAGUAAAAUAACCAACUUCUACUAUUGUAGCUACUACAGUGCA